UUGAAAAGCCAGGGGAUGACUUGUGGAUCGGAGUGAAAGGCUAAUCAAGCCCGGAGAUAGCUGGUUCUCCCCGAAAGCUAUUUAGGUAGCGCCUCGGACGAAUACCACAGGGGGUAGAGCACUGUUUCGGCUAGGGGGUCAUCCCGACUUACCAACCCGAUGCAAACUCCGAAUACCUGUGAGUACUAUCCGGGAGACACACGGUGGGUGCUAACGUCCAUCGUGAAGAGGGAAACAACCCAGACCGCCAGCUAAGGUCCCCAAAUACCAGUUAAGUGGGAAACGAUGUGGGAAGGCUCAGACAGCUAGGAGGUUGGCUUAGAAGCAGCCACCCUUUAAAGAAAGCGUAACAGCUCACCAAUAGAGCUUUUUAGUGUCGACAAUUCAUAGAGACUAAGUAAACUACUGAAGCGGUAAUAUUAAUUGUCUUCUACGUGUAUAUCAUAGCUACACGUUCAUUACGGUUAUGUAAGACAAGUUUUAGGUAGCGGAACGCUCAGUAUUUUGAAGAAGUGUUAUCGUGAGAUUGCGUGGAGAAAUCUGAGUUGAGAAUGCUGGCAUGAGUAGCGUAAAAUAGAUUGAGAAUAUCUAUCGCCGAAAAUCCAAGGUUUUCGAUAUAAUUUUUUACAUAUCGAUUAAAAUACAGGUCCCUUAGGUAAUAACGAAAGUAAAUACUGAUGGGUUUUGGAAAAAGUGACAGGCUUUGAAUUUUUAAUGUACUAAAAUAGGUUUGUUAACGUGCAAUUUAUAAAGUAAAAGUCUCUGGAAAAAGCUUCCAAAAAAACCGUACCUUAAACCGACUCUGGUGGAUUGGUAGAAAAUACUAAGGCGUUUGGGAUAACUGCGUUGAAGGAACUCGGCAAAAUAGCCCCGUAACUUCGGAAGAAGGGGUGACCGUUUUUACGGUUGACACUAAAGAGGGAGAGGCGACUGUUUAAUAAAAACACAGGUCUCCGCUAAAUCGAAAGAUGAUCGAUGGGGACUGACACCUGCCCGGUGCUGUAAAGUUAAGGGGAGGCGCAUUUGCGUCAAACUUAAGCUUCAGUAAACGGCGGUUGUAACCUUGACGAUCCAAAGGUAGCGAAAUUCCUUGUCGGGGAAGUUCCGACCCGCACGAAUGGCGUAACGAUU
rnacentral:rRNA from 1 species